CACCAUACCCAAACCGAGUGAGUUGCACCAAUUUGAAAAAAACCGUAAUUAAGAGGAAUAAUUUGUCAAGUUUUGAAAUUGUGUCAUCCGUUUAAGACUCUUAGUUUUUGUUGUAUGUUCUACGGUUCAAAAUGUAAUAAUAAAUAUUUUUAAAAUUCAUCAUCGUUAGAUGGGAUAGCCAAGACGGGGCACUUAGUCUCAACGCACUUAACCUUAAAUCAUGGAUUUUUCCACUCAGUAUGUUCUUUCCAAAGCUCAGCGAUCACAAUUCCAUACAUCAGAACGAGCAAUUAUAUUAGACUCCAUCUAAAAGUACUUGGAUUCAAGCAUACAUUGUUGAAAUUAGCAACUUAUUGGCUCGUUGAAUAUCAGAUUUAUAUCUACAACUUAUUAAGGCUAAGUUUGCUCAUACCAGGACAGUAAGCACACAGUUGACAAGUUAACUGACUACGGAAGUGAAUAUCAAAUCUCAUUCUCUGGAAAUUCGACGAAUCAUUUCUAAAUCCAAAUGCAUAUCACUUCUAUUAGAGCAACUCUAAAUGAUCCAGGAUAUGCACACAUCUUGAGCUUUUGUUGUAAGAUGUAUAUCCAAUCCAAAGACAUUCCAAACAUACCUAAAUCCACAUAAAUUAUGAUAAUACAUCUUACUGGAUAUAUCUGUCAACAGAAAAAUUUCAAAACGCGCGCACAUUGGGAUUAGACUAGUAAACGAUUACAGCGCUACUACACGAAGAAAUACGUAAUACACUUCCUACGAU